UACGUAGGGUGCAAGCGUUUGUCCGGAAUUAUUGGGCGUAAAGAGCUCGUAGGCGGUCUGUCGCGUCGGCUGUGAAAACUCGGGGCUCAACCCCGAGCCUGCAGUCGAUACGGGCAGACUAGAGUGCAGUAGGGGAGACUGGAAUUCCUGGUGUAGCGGUGAAAUGCGCAGAUAUCAGGAGGAACACCGGUGGCGAAGGCGGAUCUCUGGGCCAUUACUGACGCUGAGGAGCGAAAGCGUGGGGAGCGAACAGG
rnacentral:rRNA from 1 species